rnacentral:tRNA from 1 species
ACUAUUUUGGCAGAAAAUUGUAAUAAAUUUAGAAUUUAUAUAUGUAUAAGUUGUUAUACAAAUAGUA